AUAGGGCUUCUGCUCUUGCUUUAUCUCAGAGCCGCUGUUUUAUAAACCACUGUUUUAGAUAAGCAUUAAAACAUGGAACGUUUUCACUCUCUUAGUACUCUGUCUUCUGCAAUUGAAAUGGCUUCAUCACCAGAGACAGAGCAUCCCAACAAGGCAUUUGGAUGGGCAGCCAGGGACAUUUCUGGUAUUCUCUUCCCUUUCAACUUCUCCAGAAGGGCAACAGGAGAGAAAGAUGUUGCAAUUAAAGUAAUGUACUGUGGAAUAUGUCACUCAGACUUACAUAUGUUAAAGAAUGAGUGGAGCUGUUCAAUCUAUCCUAUUGUUCCUGGACACGAGGUUGCUGGUGUGGUGACUGAAGUGGGAAGCAAGGUGAAAAAGUUCAAAGUUGGAGACAGAGUUGGUGUAGGGGGCAUGGCUGGAUCCUGUAAAUCCUGUCAGAAUUGUAGUGAAGAUCUCGAGAAUUAUUGUCCCAAAAUGAUUUUCACAUACAGUGGCAAGCAUGUUGAUGGCACCAUAACAUACGGAGGCUACUCUGACUCAAUGGUUGUAGAUGAACACUUCGUGGUUCGAAUUCCAGAUAACCUACCUCUUGAUGCUGCUGCACCUCUCCUUUGUGCUGGAAUCACAGUGUAUAGCCCUUUGAAAUAUUAUGGACUUGACAAGCCUGGACUUCAUAUCGCUGUGGUUGGUCUUGGUGGAAUCGGUCACAUGGCUGUCAAGUUUGCCAAAGCUCUUGGGCUUAAGGUUACAGUGAUUAGUACAUCUCCCAGUAAAGAGAGGGAAGCAAUUGAACAUAUGGGAGCUGACUCAUUUGUUGUUAGUCAUAAACAAGAUGAGAUGAUGGCUGUAAUGGGAACCUUUGAUGGAAUCAUUGACACAGUUUCUGCUAAUCAUUCUCUCGUGCCUUUGAUUGGCCUGUUGAAGACUAAUGGUAAAUUAGUCAUGAUUGGUUCACCGGAGAAGCCUCUGGAGGUUCCAGCAUUUGCCUUACUUACGGGAAGGAAGCUGGUUGGUGGCAGUGCAAUUGGAGGGAUGAAAGAGACGCAAGAAAUGAUCGACUUUGCUGCGAAACAUGAUGUGAAACCUGAUAUCGAAGUUAUUGAAAUGGAUUAUGUGAACACUGCAAUGGAACGCCUCCUCAAAUCAGAUGUGAAGUAUCGAUUUGUUAUUGAUAUUGGAAACACGUUGAAGCCAAGUUCCUGAAUGAAGAAUUUGCUGGCAUAUGUUUCAGCCUUCAGAGACUGAACUUAGGGUACAAUUUGUUCACAAGCUCUGGGUAAUAGUCUGGUACAUAGAACUCUGCAGCUGACCUAUCUGGUAUCCCAAUUUCCCAUAAAGUAGGACCAUUUCUUGGAGGGACCCAUGCAUACAAGGCGUACUUCCCAGGUCAAACACUUUUCAGCUGAAUGUUUCACUAGCCAUUCAAAGUUCAAGAAAUUAAAACUGAUUGACUCCUACACCAAUUGUACCUUGCUUUCUAUUUGCCAUGAUCCUGCGUCUCCAGGGAUUUGUCAGGUCUUACGGAAAGAGAAGUUGGGCCAACAUGAGAAGUGAGUUCUUGUUUAACGGGCCCAGCAUUGCGGAACUCAUUACUGGGAGUUAUCACCCAGAAACCCACUGGUGCUGAAUCAUCCUCUGCAAUCCACCCAUGAACAGAGUUAUCUUUGUUCUCUGUCGAGUAUUGAUAUUUAUCAUCAACCUAAACCCAACAAACACGUCUUCGAUUCACACACAUUAUAGGCAACAAAAAGAAAAAUAGAAAAAAUCAAUGUCAAUUCAACCAGAGGCAUAACCAAAGAAAGAAUCACCUCUCCUCGAAUUUGUGGGUCAGUUGCAUGGGUUAAGAGAACAGCUUCAGGAUAUGAAAGCACCUUGCCCGUUCUUCUGUCUUCUGCAGUUGGCAUCUUCCUUUGCCUUGUAUCAGAUAUGGCCAUGUAGUGGAACCUGCAUCAUUGGUUUGGUUGUUAAUAAGUAAUCCUGGUGGACGAGUAAAUACUGCGUAUGAAUAAAACCCAGAAUCACCUCUGCGCAAUAUAUACCUUAAGUCUAUGUUUAUGGGGACACUUGAGCCUUGCAUGGAAGCUUUCCAUGUUUUUAGAAAGGAAACCUCC